rnacentral:rRNA from 1 species
GACGAACGCUGGCGGCGUGCUUAACACAUGCAAGUCGAGCGGAAAGGCCCUUCGGGGUACUCGAGCGGCGAACGGGUGAGUAACACGUGAGUAACCUGCCCCAGACUUUGGGAUAACCCUCGGAAACGGGGGCUAAUACCGGAUACGACACAGCUUCGCAUGGGGUCUGUGUGGAAAGUUUUUCGGUUUGGGAUGGGCUCGCGGCCUAUCAGCUUGUUGGUGGGGUGAUGGCCUACCAAGGCGACGACGGGUAGCCGGCCUGAGAGGGCGACCGGCCACACUGGGACUGGGCCCCGGCCCAGACCCCUACGGGGGGCAGCCGUGGGGAAUUUUGCACAAUGGGCGGAAGCCUGCUGCAGCGCCCCCGCGUGGGGGAUGACGGCCUUCGGGUUGUAACCCUUUUUCAGCCGGGACGAAGCGUAAGUGACGGUACCUGCAGAAGAAGCGCCGGCCAACUACGG